rnacentral:tRNA from 1 species
GUCUUCGUGGUGUAGUUGGAAAUACGUCCGGCUAGCAAUCGGGAUGUCCAGAGUUCGAAUCUCGAAGACA